rnacentral:rRNA from 1 species
GAUUUCUGGUAGUGCGCAUUUGGCCCGUCUCGGUUACGAGUUUGUGUGCCGGUAUGCGCCUGCCAUCUUUCUGGGGAAUGGCUCGACCUUCACUGGUUGGGUCACUAGCCAGAUCUUUUACUUUGAAAAAAUUAGAGUGUUUAAAGCAGGCUUGUUGCUAUGAAUACAUUAGCAUGGAAUAAUAAUUUAGGACUUCGGUUCUAUUUUGUUGGUUUCUAGGACUGAAGUAAUGAUUGAUAGGGAUAGUUGGGGGUGCUAGUAUUCAGCGGCCAGAGGUGAAAUUCUCGGAUUCGCUGAAGACUAACUUAUGCGAAAGCAUU